AUUGAACGCUGGCGGCAGGCCUAACACAUGCAAGUCGAGCGGAUGAGGAAAGCUUGCUCUUCGAUUCAGCGGCGGACAGGUGAGUAAUGCCUAGGAAUCUGCCUGUUAGUGGGGGAUAACUCGGGGAAACUCGGGCUAAUACCGCAUACGUCCUACGGGAGAAAGUGGGGGAUCUUCGGACCUCACGCUAACAGAUGAGCCUAGGUCGGAUUAGCUAGUAGGUGAGGUAAUGGCUCACCUAGGCGACGAUCCGUAACUGGUCUGAGAGGAUGAUCAGUCACACUGGAACUGAGACACGGUCCAGACUCCUACGGGAGGCAGCAGUGGGGAAUAUUGGACAAUGGGCGAAAGCCUGAUCCAGCCAUGCCGCGUGUGUGAAGAAGGUCUUCGGAUUGUAAAGCACUUUAAGUUGGGAGGAAGGGUAUUCACCUAAUACGUGGGUACUUUGACGUUACCAACAGAAUAAGCACCGGCUAACUCUGUGCCAGCCGCCGCAGUAACAC
rnacentral:rRNA from 1 species